UACAGAGGGUGCGAGCGUUAAUCGGAAUUACUGGGCGUAAAGCGUGCGUAGACGGUUAUUUAAGUCGGGUGUGAAAGCCCCGGGCUCAACCUGGGAAUUGCAUUCGAGACUGAAUAGCUAGGGUACGGUAGAGGGAAGUGGAAUUCCCGGUGUAGCGGUGAAAUGCGCAGAUAUCGGGAGGAACACCGGUGGCGAAGGCGGCACUCUGGGACGGUACUGGACGCUGAGACGCGAAAGCGUGGGGAGCGAACGAG
rnacentral:rRNA from 1 species